GACGAACGCUGGCGGCGUGCUUAACACAUGCAAGUCGAACGGAGUGGCGAACGGGUGAGUAACACGUGGGUGAUCUGCCUUGCACUCUGGGAUAAGCUUGGGAAACUGGGUCUAAUACCGGAUAGUGCAAGAUGAGCUCGCGGCCUAUCAGGUUGUUGGUGGGGUAAUGGCCUACCAAGGCGGCGACGGGUAGCCGGCCUGAGAGGGGGUACGGACGAAUUGGGACUGAGAUGCGGCCCAGAUGCCGACGGGAGGAAGCAGUGGGGAAUAUUGCACAAUGGGCGGAAGCCUGAUGCAGCGACGCCGCGUGGGGGAUGACGGCCUUCGGAUUGUAAACUCCUUACGACAGGGACGCGGUACCUGUAUAAGAGGCACCGGCUAACUACGUGCCAGCAGCCGCGGUAAUUC
rnacentral:rRNA from 1 species